CACGUAGGGUGCGAGCGUUGUCCGGAAUUAUUGGGCGUAAAGAGCUCGUAGGCGGUGUGUCGCGUCGGCCGUGAAAACCUGCAGCUUAACUGUGGGCUUGCGGUCGAUACGGGCAUCACUGGAGUUCGGGCAGGGGAGACUGGAAUUCCUGGUGAUAGCGGUGAAAUGCGCAGAUAUCAGGAGGAACACCGGUGGCGAAGGCGGCCCCACUGGAUCGGUACUGACGCUGGAGGUGACGAAAGCGUGGGGGAGC
rnacentral:rRNA from 1 species